rnacentral:lncRNA from 1 species
GGUCUUUGCUCCAUUUUUGGGGUCAAUGUAAUAGAACUGCACUAAAGUUGCUUGAUAUUUUCUUUUACAGGACAUCAUGUUGGGAACAACAAUGAUGAAGUCUUUCCCAAGAGAAACAAACGGACCAUACAAGAAGGGACAGAGGACAACGAGGAUGAAGUCUUCCUUCCCAAGAAAAAGAAGCGCAUCAUUCAAGGAGAGACAGAGGAAAGGAUACCUCCGAAAGUUGCUGCCUCACUCAAAUUCUUUGGAGCGAAAAAAAGUUGUAAUUCUUCAAUCAUUUUCAACCAUUCUGGACAAAUCUGUGCCUCAAUAAUUGCCUCUAAUUUGACUACGUUUUGCUGCACAGCCUAAGAUACCAUGACAGGUGGUUGAGGGUGGUAUCCCUGAUACGUGCCGUUAGAAGGGCAUCGCUGGCUGCAGGAUGCCCACUGUGAGAUUUGCCCCAUGUGGUUGACAGAUGCAGAGUUAGCACAGGUGAUAUGAGUGCGCUGCUAGGUGCACAUGAGCUGUUGCCGGAGGGCUGCUCUGAUCUAAGCGUGUGGCUUGCCAACACAUGAGCCCCCAGAGGUGAAGACAGAGCCUGCAGAGUGACGCACAAGAAAAAGCGAGAUACUUUAACCGGGCCACUUGCUCUGAAUGUCAUUGUACCUGGGAACACCUCCAAAGAACCUAGGUGACAGAGUGCUGGCUGCGUGGUAGUGAUAUCAUCUCUAUGGGCAAGUGGGCGUCGCUUCAACAAUGAACUGGGUCAGCCCUGCACGACUAGCCAAACCUCGUAUACUACUGCGUUAGCUGUCGGAGCCGUUGACAGCGCAGCAGAAAGAGACAUACAGAAUGAUCAGCGAUUGGUCCUAUCAUUAUUUAAAUCCAAGUUCGUCAAAUGACUGAAACAGAGAUAAUCUUGUGUUCUUGAGUUGUGGGAAACAACUUUCAUGCGAACUGUGAUGUACAGUAUUAAGGAUCAGGAUAUGUGGAUAUGUUUCAUGCUAAUGUUUGUGUGCACCGAGUUGCGCGUUCAAAUAAAGGGUCUAGUAUGACCUAAGGUACCAUGAGAGGUGCUCAAGAUUAAUGGGCUGGUUGAGUGAUAUGCCUCUCUGAGUGUUGUAAGGCCUGGGGUUGAGCUCUGAUGGACAGAGUAGAGCUAGCCAGACAGGAGCAGUGAAGGAUAAAUGCUGAGAAUCGAGAUCAGAGCUUGGAUGACAGAAAGUGGCGUUUGACAUGUAUAAACUCGCAACUAAAAACCCAAAUAAGCCAAGUACGUGUAGCUAUGGUGUCGUUGCCUCGACCGGGCUGUGCUGUGUUGCCAAUUGUUGGAGGAUAGGAUACUUGCCCGGAUGUGGCUACCGCCACUCAUGAUGUAUACGCCUGGCAGGCAAGGGCAGCAGCCAAUGAGAUGUUGAUGCAAGGUUAGCAGCUGCCAUUAGUUGGUGGUUAGCUAUCCUCCCACAGCCUCAUUAAGCAGGUAAGGAAAUACCUAAGUAAAGGCAGAGGGUCUACUUAAACAGCGUGCUUAAUUUUUUGCAACUUUGAGCUGCUUAUUGCACGGUUUUAAUACGGUUUAUCCUUAAUAGUUACCACAGUUUCCUCUGAAUCACUCAACAAAUAGAUUUGCACCGAAUGAAGCCAGGAAUGUAAAUUCUAUAUGUAAAUUGUUUAACUGCUGAGUCUAAGCUGAAUUAGCGUUCGUUUCUUCAUUCCAGCUCCUAUUCCCUGCUACUAUUUCUAAUGCACUGACAUUAAUGUUUAUUUUGACGGCAAUACAAACAUAAUGAAUCCUUUAAAUGCUUUCUCUAAAAUUGUUAGGCCCCUUCUAGGCAUACUGCAUACUUUUAACUGAAUUUCAUUUCGCAUUGAAAAUCAGACCAUUGAAACGGAACCUGGUGAACUUCUGAUUGGAGUAACUGCAUUAUGUACGUCCAUGUUCUUUCAUUGAUUCAUAAAAAAGUUGAUGCUUCUAAGUAUUUCUUUGAAUUUUGUUGCAGAUUCAAACAGAUAAAAAAGGUACUUUUCACAAUGUCAUUUUCCACUCUGAUAAGGCCAAGCCGCUCCUGGAGAAAAAUCGACUGAUCGAAAUUGAUGGCACCUUUAAGGUCGUUCCCAAGAUUUUGCAUUUUUACCAGCUUCUCACUGUUUUAGUGGUGUACAAUGGCAUCGUAAGUACCUCUUUAAAUGCCUCUAUUUCUGCUCACCAGCCGCGUAGCUCCUGAAGAAAUCCUUCCAUUUUACAUUACUUCCCUCCUUUAUUUUUUAUGAGAACUGGCCAAAAAUUUGGAACUCCGCACCAUUCAGCUCAAGUGUACAGAAGCAGACAAAUUUUUCAAUUAAGGACUCAAGAUUCUUGUCACUGUGCUCUGAGGUAGAGUAAGUAGGAAAAAUGUAAUUUGACAUUAAUUAACUGCUCUAUGGUAGCAAGUUUGCGCAAUGAUUCAAAAAGUGCCCUACAAUUUUCUCACAUUUUAAAAAACAUGACAAUGAGUCCGUUACUUGCAAGUGAUGGAGCCAAGUGAAUAGACUUACGAUGAGUAAAAUCACUCCAAAAACAUGAUGGGCACAUCGGAAACAUGUAAAAUCCAGUCCUUAG